GCGCCCUUAGCUCAGCCAGGCAGAGCAACUGACUCUUAAUCAGUGGGUCGAAGGUUCGAUUCCUUCAGGGCGCAC
rnacentral:tRNA from 1 species